rnacentral:rRNA from 1 species
ACUCAAAGGAAUAGACGGGGACCCGCACAAGCGGUGGAACAUGUGGUUUAAUUCGAAGCAACGCGAAAAACCUUACCAGGGCUUGACAUCUAGAGAAUUCUAGUGAAAGCUAGGAGUGCCCCUCGGGGAGCUCUAAGACAGGUGGUGCACGGUUGUCGUCAGCUCGUGUCGUGAGAUGUUGGGUUAAGUCCCGCAACGAGCGCAACCCUCGUCGUUAGUUGCAUGCAGUGGCUUGCUGCUGUAGUGCUCUCUAGCGAGACUGCCGGUGAUAAACCGGAGGAAGGUGGGGACGACGUCAAAUCAUCAUGCCCCUUAUGCUCUGGGCUACACACGUGUUACAAUGGCUGGUACAACGAGCCGCAAGUUCGCGAGGACAAGCAAAUCUCUUAAAACCAGUCUCAGUUCGGAUUGGAGUCUGUAACUCGACUCCAUGAAGUCGGAAUCGCUAGUAAACGCAGAUCAGCACGCUGCGUUGAAUACGUUCCCGGGUCUUGUACACACCGCCCGU